rnacentral:rRNA from 1 species
AUGCCGGCGCGCAAAGCACCCGGACCGGAUGGCUUCACCGCGGAGUUCCUGCGCGCCUGUUGGAGCAUCAUCCGCCAUGACAUAUGGGACGUCUUCGAGCUGCUAUACACGCUGCGUGGCCACGGGUUCAGCAAGCUUAACCAAGCGCUGCUAACCUUGCUGCCUAAGCGCGCGGACGCUCACAAGCUCGGUGACUACCGGCCGAUCUGCCUGAUCCACAUUGUGGCCAAGAUCUUCGCGAAGGUCCUGUCAUUGCGCCUCGCCCCCAAACUCGACACCCUAGUCAGCCGCAACCAAAAUGCGUUCAUUGCCGGACGUAGCCUCCACGACAACUUUGUUCUAGUCCGGAAAUCCCUCAAGAUGCUGCACCAACUUGGCGCGCCCAGGAUCAUGCUAAAGCUCGACCUCACACGCGCCUUCGACUCCAUCUCAUGGGCAUUUCUCUUUGAAGUGCUGCGCCAGUAUGGGUUCGGGGAGCGAUUCCGGGAGUGGCUGGCCAUUCUACUCUCCUCGGCUAGCACGCGGGUCAUGGUCAAUGGAGUCCCCGGCCCUCCAAUCUGGCACCGUCGCGGCCUGAGACAAGGCGACUCCACCUCCCCACAACUCUUCGUGCUGGCGGUGGACACCCUUGGGAGGCUGAUGCGUCUCGCUCUACAAACGGGUAUCCUCCAGCAGCUGCACCCCCGGCGAGCCAUCCCGAUGAUAUCUCUUUGCGCCGACGAUGUGAUGCUUUUCUGCCAUGCCACUACCGAGGAAAUUGCCGCUGUCAAAGGCAUCCUGGACGUGUUCGGUACGGCGUCUGGGCUACGGGUGAAUUACGCGAAGAGCUCGGCCACGAUCCUUCAUGCCGACGACUACGGCGAGGGGCUGUUGGAGCCACUUGGGUGCCCCGUCAUGGCCAUGCCGGCCACCUAUCUGGGCAUCCCGCUCUCCACUCGCCGCCCAUCCGCAACCCAGCUGCAACCCCUCGUCGACGCGGUGGCAGGCCGACUACCCUCUUGGAAAGCUUGGUUGAUGAACAAAGCGGGACGACUAGCGCUCGUCAAGUCAGUGCUUAGCGCGAUACCGAUCCAUCAACUGCUAGCGCUAGCGCCUCCAAAGAAAACCCUGAAGCAACUGGAGAAGAUUCAGCGUGGUUUUCUUUGGGCUGGCUGCGCGGACGCCCACGGUGGUCACUGCCACGUCAACUGGCGCCGGGUCUGCCGUCUGCUCGAAUAUGGUGGCCUCGGCGUCCGGGACCUCGAGCGCACGGGACUAUCACUCCGGCUGCGCUGGCUAUGGCUCGCGUGCACGGACACGGAUCGAGCUUGGCAGGGGCUGGACCUGCAAUUCACGACGGAGGAGCGCGCGCUCUUUUACGCCUCCACGACCAUGGCCAUCGGUGACGGCAGGACAGCCCUUUUCUGGGAGGACCGCUGGCUCGGCGGCCAAUCCGUCCACGAGCUCGCGCCAAUGCUUUUCCAGUGCAUCUCCAAACAGCGCAGGAAGUCCAGAACGGUGGCGGAGGCCCUCGCCGGCAACAGCUGGGCGCGUGGCAUCCAUGGCCUGCUCGGCCUCCCGGAGAUUGGACAGUACCUUAAGCUCUGGCACCUAGUUCAGCAUGUCGAGCUGUCCAUCUGGCACCUAGUUCAGCAUGUCGAGCUGUCCAAUGAGCCGGACAGGCUGCUCUGGAGAUGGACAGCCAACGGCGUUUACACAGCCCAAUCUUGCUACCGGGCAACCUUCCAGGGCGCGACGAGCUGCAAUUCCUGGAAACUCAUUUGGAGGAGCUGGGCACCGCCCAAGGUGAAGUUCUUCCACUGGUUGGCGUGUCAAGAUCGCUGCUGGACCACGGAGAGACUCACGCGCCGUGGCCUGCAACACCACCCGCAGUGCCUUCUGUGCGACCAGGAACAGGAGAUGAUUGGGCCCUGA